GCGUGCGCCGUACGCCCUGGCCCCGGUACCUGAUACGGCCGGGGGCAG
rnacentral:ncRNA from 1 species